rnacentral:misc_RNA from 1 species
AAGUCGUAACAAGGUCUCCGUAGGUGAACCUGCGGAGGGAUCAUUAACACUUUCUAUGAAGGAGGAAACUCUUUCUAUCCACUCGUGAACUAACUUAUGCCCGAUUGGUCUAUUAAUUCAUUUUGAUAGGCUGGUCAACCAUUUUUUCUAUUGUUAUCUAAACCUUAUCCAACCGCUAACGCUAUAAACAGACAGUAUUAUAUAUGAAAAUAUAUAAUAUGGUGAUAUAGUAAAACAUAAGCACAACUCUUAGCAACGGAUAUCUCGGUUCUCGUAACGAUGAAAAACGCAGC